rnacentral:rRNA from 1 species
GACGAACGCUGGCGGCGUGCUUAACACAUGCAAGUCGAACGAUGAUCAGGAGCUUGCUCCUGUGAUUAGUGGCGAACGGGUGAGUAACACGUGAGUAACCUGCCCCUGACUCUGGGAUAAGCGUUGGAAACGACGUCUAAUACCGGAUAUGAAGCGUGGAGGCAUCUUCUGCGUUUGGAAAGAUUUUUUGGUUUGGGAUGAGCUCGCGGCCUAUCAGCUUGUUGGUGAGGUAAUGGCUUACCAAGGCGACGACGGGUAGCCGGCCUGAGAGGGUGACCGGCCACACUGGGACUGAGACACGGCCCAGACUCCUACGGGAGGCAGCAGUGGGGAAUAUUGCACAAUGGGCGCAAGCCUGAUGCAGCAACGCCGCGUGAGGGAUGACGGCCUUCGGGUUGUAAACCUCUUUUAGUAGGGAAGAAGCGUAAGUGACGGUACCUGCAGAAAAAGCACCGGCUAACUACGUGCCAGCAGCCGCAGUAAAAC